GACGAACGCUGGCGGCGUGCUUAACACACGCAAGUCGAACGGUAAGGCCCUUCGGGGUACACGAGUGGCGAACGGGUGAGUAACACGUGGGUGAUCUGCCCUGCACUUCGGGAUAAGCCUGGGAAACUGGGUCUAAUACCGGAUAGGACUCCUGGCUUCAUGGUUGGGGGUGGAAAGCUUUUGCGGUGUGGGAUGGGCCCGCGGCCUAUCAGCUUGUUGGUGGGGUAAUGGCCUACCAAGGCGACGACGGGGAGCCGGCCUGGGAGGGUGACCGGUCACACUGGGACUGAGAUACGGCCGAGCGUCCUAGGGGAGGCAGCAGUGGGGAAUAUUGCACAAUGGGCGCAAGCCUGAUGCAGCGACGCCGCGUGAGGGAUGACGGCCUUCGGGUUGUAAACCUCUUUCAGCUAUGACGAAGCGCAAGUGACGGUAGUAGCAGAAGAAGGACCGGCCAACUACGUGCCAGCAGCCGCCGUAA
rnacentral:rRNA from 1 species